GCCACCCCGCAUAGCCUGGGUAGCGUGUGGAAGAUCCGAGUGUGGCACGACAACAAAGGGCUCAGCCCUGCCUGGUUCCUGCAGCACAUCAUCGUCAGGGACCUGCAGACGGCACGCAGCGCCUUCUUCCUGGUCAAUGACUGGCUUUCGGUGGAGACGGAGGCCAACGGGGGCCUGGUGGAGAAGGAGGUGCUGGCCGCGAGCGACGCAGCCCUGUUGCGCUUCCGGCGCCUGCUGGUGGCUGAGCUGCAGCGCGGCUUCUUUGACAAGCACAUCUGGCUCUCCAUAUGGGACCGGCCGCCUCGUAGCCGUUUCACUCGCAUCCAGAGGGCCACCUGCUGCGUUCUCCUCAUCUGCCUCUUCCUGGGCGCCAACGCCGUGUGGUACGGGGCUGUUGGCGACUCUGCCUACAGGUGGCUGGGAGCCCGAGCCCCACACCUGCCGGGCAGCAGGUGCUGGACAUCGACAGCUGCCUGGACUCGUCCGUGCUGGACAGCUCCUUCCUCACGUUCUCAGGCCUCCACGCUGAGCAGGCCUUUGCUGGACAGAUGAAGAGUGA
rnacentral:sRNA from 1 species